rnacentral:rRNA from 2 species
GCAUAUCCCAAAAGCGGAGGAAAAGAAACUAACAAGGAUUCCCCUAGUAACUGCGAGUGAAGCGGGAAGAGCUCAAAUUUGAAAUCUCCUUCGGGCGAGUUGUAAACUGGAGAAGCGUUAUCAGACGCCGACCGCACUAAAGUCUCCUGGAAUGGAGUGUCAUAGAGGGUGAGAAUCCCGUGCUUGGUGCGAUUGCGGCGUUGUAGAGGCGUUUUCUAUGAGUCGAGUUGUUUGGGAAUGCAGCUCAAAAUGGGUGGUAAACUCCAUCUAAAGCUAAAUACUGGCGAGAGACCGAUAGCGAACAAGUACCGUGAGGGAAAGAUGAAAAGGACUUUGGAAAGAGAGUUAAAGAGUACGUGAAAUUGCUGAAAGGGAAGCGCUUGGAGUGAGUCGCGCGGGCGGGAGUCAGCUCUGCGUACUUCCUGCCCGUGGGCCAGCAUCGACCUUGGACGGCGGAUAAGGGCGGUGGGAAUGUGGCAUCUCCGGAUGUGUUAUAGCCUGCUGUCGUACACGCCGACCGGGGUCGAGGACUGCUUAUAGGAUGCUGGCGUAAUGGCUCUAAGCGACCCGUCUUGAAAACACGGACCA